GAGAUUUCACAGUAUAUGAGUGUCCUGGAUUGGCACCUACUGGGGAAAUGGAGGUGAAAAACCCUCUGUUCGACGACUCCACCCUUUACUUUCAGAAGUUCUACAAAUAAACCUGGACAUUGAGAGGUUUCACACUCUGAACGCAGCACUUGUGUGUGCAUAUAGUUGAAUUUACACAUAUACACACACUGUGCUGAGUCCAAUCAUUUUAAUGGACAGGGUGGAGAGUGUAAGGUACAUGGAGGAGGACUGGGAUGAGGAGUGAAGCAUUCGUGGACAUUUAAAGGAGGUCACAGGACUGGUUUCAUGACUGAAUAUGGGACCAGUGCCUCCCAUUCUACUGCAACAGUCUGUCCUUUUUUACGCUAUCACUAUUUUUGUUAUUAUUUUUGUUCACAAACCCACAAUCAGCCAACAUCUAAGAACUCAGAAUGAUUUCUGUCAAGUAGCAAACACUCAUAUUGAAUAAAAUAUCCUGUUAAUAGAACUGGUUCCAGUACAGGGACAGUUCCUGAUUCCACUGAGCUGAAGCUGAAAGUAUUUCAGUUCAUUGAUAGAGCUUCAUGAAUAUCCAUGUUUAUUAAUUAGUAAAUAAACACUGCUUUCUUUGGUUUAAUUUAAGUAUUUUUUAAAGAUGUGUUUAAUAUUUCAUGAUAACACCUCCGUGCAGCACCGUGAUCUUUAUCAGUAUGUUAUGCAGCCAUUGUGUUCUCAGUCUACUUCAUCUAUGCAUGUUUUGAUGAUGCUGUGUUAUGAAAUCUGAUAGUCAAUAUGCAUUUACAGCAAAGUGCUAAUGGUUAUUAUAUGCCUAUAUCACUGGUGUCACAAUUCUCCAAAUUCAUGAUUCAAUUAGACUUUUGAUUUAAAGGUCACAAUUUGAAUCAAUUUUCAAUUUGGAAAAAAGUUCAGCACUGACUGCUAUGCCAUUGAUAGACUUUUGAGUCUUGAUUUGUAAAGCUCAACAUAUCAUUGGUUUUAUGCCCAGACAACUAGGCCUGGGUAUUGGUACUCUUUAUUUCUUAACUUUAACGUAUCGUCCAAAAUAGCCCAGUACUGAGUAGUAUGAAAAUGUCUCCAAUCAAACAAGUACUGCAUUCGAUCCUUCUUGUAACCAGAUCAGGAAAAAUUGUAUGGUUUUGCAGCCAAACACGCAACCAACACACCAAGAGAAAGAGAAGGGAAUGCCUCUUCUUUUCUUGUAUUUCUUAUGUCCCUGCAUGCGCUUGUAAGCCUAGAUCAUGACUGAUUUUAACAGCCCCUCACCAUUGGCUGCUGUUUCAGGCAUGUUCAACAUUGUUGAAAGUUUAUUACCACAAGCUUGGCUUUGUGUUUGUUUCAUCUUCUCAUAUCCUUUAACACUACUCUGUACAGUUUUAUUUGCAAUUCACAUCACUUGUCACCAAUCGAUCAUUGCCUUCCAUCAUAUCAAGUCAACGCUUGGAUGUAGUGAGAGUGAUCGGCUGGAUGUGCAGGCUUUCUUUUCCUUUACUUGCUUCUUAAGAGUCUUUAGUGCAGUAUAGUGACCUGUAUGAGCUCACUCCUUACUCGUUUUCUACUUCUUACUGUCGUCUAUUGAAGGAGGUCUGCGACUCACUACUAAAGGACAAAGGCGAGUGAGUGUCAUGAAAUGUGGCAUCAUAUAAAGUUUUUUAUUUGUUUUAUUAUUUAUUACUACUACUAUGGCAUUUUACUCAAGGAAUCAAAUGUUUUGUACCCUAUUGGUAUCGGUAUCACUUUAAGGCUACUGAUUUUGGUACUGGUAAUAUUUUAAACCCAGCCCUACAGACAAAUUUCAUGUGGAUUUGUGUGGUACAGCCUACAAACUGUAGUUGCCACACCUGUGACCUCAGGGAAGCAGGAAGAUUCUGUUCCAGUUUUUUCUCUGUCAUCUCCGACUCCAGCAGUAGCCAUGGUGUUUUUUUUUCUUCAGACGUGCACCUGACACACAAAAUUAGGCAGGGGUGGAGAGAAAAAUGUCGAAAUCGAAAGCUCUUAUCUUUUUAGAGAUAGCUCUAAAUGAAAGAAAUUGUGACACCCCUAAUAUAUAUCCGGUAUAUAUACUUUAUACUUAUAUAUGACUUGAAUGAUUACGAAAGAAUUUGAUACUUCAUUACCUAGAACUCUGAAACAGAGCGAGUCCAUCCUGUGUAUAUGGUAUCUGACUAACAUGGCUUGUCCACAUGAUUUUGUGAUCUGUAAAUAGCUGCUAAUGUGUACAGGGAAGAUAUCUUACCUCUCACUCAGUGUGUGUGCAAACAUCUUCCCCUAAAGAGUGCUUUGUCAAAUACUGAACUGUUAUUGUUUCCGUAUUGUUCACUAUAUUUGCAAGGUUCCUAUAUACAUGUGGAAAGGACAGGAAAUGUCUCAGAGAAGUAAUGAUGUCCUGGUUUUGAAAACAUAUUUGACCCAUUUGUUAUUGUGCAUAUAGUUUUUAAUUGAAAUGUAAUAGUUUUGUAGAUAAGGGGUAAGCAGAGAGUAUCCGCACACUAUGACAUACAUAACUGGAACAUUUAUUAGAAUUCAGGCACAUUUCAAUCCUAAUACCAAGUCUUCACCAGGAAAAACAUGAGAAAAUGGCAGUAUAAUACUGAAUACAUCAUGCUGAAGUCAAGGACAACCAAUCAAGCAAAAUGACUUCAAUAAAUACUGACAAGACAUUGUCAAAAAGCAAAUCGUUAUCAUAGAAAUCACAAACAUCAAUACAUAGACAAUAUUUUAAAGUAAAAAAAAAAAAGAGGAAACUAAUAAUAUCACAACAUUGUCUGAGAUAAAAUACACCCCACUGGCUGGAGGAAUAAUGGGAACAGGAGAAAGGAAAAAUUGCCCAGAAAUAUGAGACAUACAUAUAAUCUUUACAGUUACAGAAGGAGCUGCCAUCAUUUUUUUUCUUUGAAUAGGUCAAAGCUGCCAAUUUUAAAAUUGAACUUAGCCAAAUUUGCAGAUUUUACAGUACAGUCAGUCAUCUUCUGUAUCCACUUAUCCAUGCAGGUUUACAGGGGGCUGGGGCCAAUCCCAGCUGGCAUAGGGCAAGAUACAGCCUGAACAGGCCGCCAGUCCGUCACAGGACACAGGAUACAUUUUACAGUACAUGCUUGGGAAAAUGUAAAGCUAUGGUAGGUAACAUUGGAGAAACUGGGAUGAGACAGCUAAAUUCCCUUCAGGCCUUCCUCCAUAGCCACAGGUUAGCCAGUCAUUUCAUUUGGACUGAAUACACAAUCUAACUUUGUCUUUCCCAAUAACAAUGUUAUUGCCAAAGCCUGAUCACGACUGCAUGAACAUAACUAAUAGUAGAGUAAUGAUGCUACCAGCACUGUUACCCAUAUGAAGGAUUGGAUUGGUGCACUGUAAGACAUUUCAAGUUUGUUUAACUUGGAAAUAGAAGAAAUGCUGCCUUAUAAAUGCAAGUUAACUCAGCUUUAAGAUUGCAUUUGUUUUAAUUCACAGGUUCAUAAAGUUGAUGUAACUUCUA